GAAUCCAGACUGAACUUUUGAAGUGUGGGUCCUAGUGUUCACAUUCUACUCAGAAUUCUGCAGUGGCUCCCCUCUCCCUCAGAAGCCCGUCUUAAUAGGAAGUCCUCCUUGCCUCUUAUUUUCUUCCAUAAUACUUAUCUCGAGCAGCUGACUAGAUUUUAUGGCUUUCUGUCACCACCAUUGAAUGUUCUGACCAUUGAGGCUACUGACUAGUUAUACCAUUUAACUAGUGUGAUGGUUUGUACAUGCUCGGCCCAGGGAGUGGCACUAUUAGGAGUUGUGGCCCCGUUGGAGUAAAUGUGUCAUUGUGGGCGUGGGCUUUAAGACCCUCAUCCUAGCUGCCUGGAAGCCAGUCUUCUCCUACUGGACUUCAGAUGAAGAUGUAGAGCUCUCAGCUACUCCUGCACCAUGCCUGCCUGGAUGCUGCCAUGUUCCUGCCUUGAUGAUAAUGGACAGAACCUCUGAACCUAUAUGGCAUACCGAGCUGGAAAGAUCCAGGAAUGUGUUUCAACCCGGACAUUUUACAGAUGAAAACAAGGACCAAAGGGAAGGUGCCGGCUGGAGACUGGAAAUUCUCUUCCCUCCCUGUAUACCCAGUCCUCCCUCUCCCCACAAACUGACUUUUACUGUAUACCCAAUCGGCCUAUUAAAUCAAGAGGUUUUCUCCUCUUUGCUCUCUUA